GCCAAAUUCAUUUAAUAACAGUUUUCAGUAGAAUCUACAGUUGUGAUAACGUCAAGUUCAUUACAAAAUAGUCUUUGCAAUAAAUAAAUAGAUUUAUACUUUAUAUAUGUAAUAAAAUAAAUAUAUAGUACAUCUCAUAAAUAGGAUCAUUCAUAUGCACAUCUCAGCUGGUUGUAUUUUAAUAACAGGCUGAACAUUACAAGUCGCUCCCUCUGUUCAAAAGCUCUCUCUCUCUCUGUGCCCUCUGUUCUACAGCUCUCCCUCUGUUCUAAAACUCUGUCUGUCCGUUCUACAGCUCACUGUAGUCUAGUGGUGUAACCUCAGUGUAGUCUGGUGGUGUAACCUCUGUAGUCUGGUGGUGUAACCUCACUGUAUGUAACCUCACUGUAGUCUGGCAGUGUAACCUCAUUGUAGUGUAAACUCACUGUAACCUCACUGUAGUGUAACUCACUGUAUUCUGGUAGUGUAACCUCAUUGUAGUGUAACCUCGCUGUAGUGUAACCUCACUGUAGUCUGGCAGUGUAACCUCACUGUAGUCUGGCAGUGUAACCUCACUGUAGCGUAACCUCACUGUAGUCUGGUAGUGUAACCUCACUGUAGUCUGGUGGUGUAACCUCACUGUAGUGUCUAGUCUUUCUAGAUGCCACAACAUCUGCUACUAUUAUGAGUGAGAGUAAUCUGUAUCAGAGAGGAGAAGGCUGUUUGGUUGGCCUGCUAGGGGGCCAGUCAAUUUGACCCUGUAGAGGCAAAUAGUAAGUGCUCUUUCAUCUUCCUAUGUCUUACAUUGUCUCCUGUUUGCCUGUUCCUAAAAGUUUGUCUCAAUACAAACCUAUUCUUUUCAUGAUUUCUCAUUCAUUGUCAUAGGUAUUUCAUUGAACUGCAAUCUAGCUUCACCACCCAUGUCCUUGACUGUCCUGUAUUAAUGUUUUACACGUAUCUCUUUACAUUGACCAUUUUACAUUUACGUCAUUUAGCAGACGCUCUUAUCCAGAGCGACUUACAAAUUGGUGCAUUCACCUUAUGAGAUCAUAUAAUUUAUGUGCCAAGUUCUGCCAACCCUGCUACACCUGCAUGCUCCCUCAUGGCCAAUCUGUCUCCAUCACAUAUACAUACUAGGUAGUAGUGUUCUCGCUCUCUCUCGCUCAGCCCGGACAUCCCAAUGACUCGUCAGAAGAUGAGUUCUCUACACGUUGCUUUAGAACACACUGACAUUCUCUCAACUUCCAUUGGUCAAUCCCCUCUCUCCAUUCCUUCCUGGAAUUAUCUGGUUGCCGUGGUGAAUGGCUUGGCUAGAGUAGUGUCCACUGGUCAUCUCAGCUAGUCUGAUCAACUUUCCAUUACUAGUCCUCAGACCCCUUGGUGCUACUCGAACUGCUGAGGACUAACCCCAAACCCUUUUCAUAUUUGCAGUGAAUGCUGGUUAAGUAUCUUAUUAUGUAUAAAAGUGGUUCUCAUCAGGAACAGUCUUGGUCUUCUUCAGAUGGUUCACGUGGUUUUAACCUGUGGUUAUCCCGGGGUGGGUUAGGCAGUCGUACAGGCCUGACGCCAGUCCAGUUUCUCUCCCUCCGUAUCCGUUCAGUGAAGAGAUUAUCUCCUCCGCUCGACUCUGUGCUCUCCUCCAGAGUGAGGUCUUAUGGGCCUAAUGACACCUUUCUG
rnacentral:lncRNA from 1 species